rnacentral:rRNA from 1 species
AACGAACGCUGGCGGCAUGCCUAACACAUGCAAGUCGAACGAAGCCUUCGGGCUUAGUGGCGCACGGGUGCGUAACGCGUGGGAAUCUGCCCUUGGGUUCGGGAUAACAGUUAGAAAUGACUGCUAAUACCGGAUGAUGUCUUCGGACCAAAGAUUUAUCGCCCAAGGAUGAGCCCGCGUAGGAUUAGGUAGUUGGAGGGGUAAUGGCGCACCAAGCCGACGAUCCUUAGCUGGUCUGAGAGGAUGAUCAGCCACACUGGGACUGAGACACGGCACAGACUGCUACGGGAGGCAGCAGUGGGGAAUAUUGGACAAUGGGCGAAAGCCUGAUCCAGCAAUGCCGCGUGAGUGAUGAAGGCCUUAGGGUUGUAAAGCUCUUUUACCAGGGAUGAUAAUGACAGUACCUGGAGAAUAAGCUCCGGCUAACUCCGUGCCAGCCGCCGCGGUAA